ACCAAAAAACUAAGCUAUAUUGGUAAAAAGACAGUUAAAUUAUAUAAGGGUGAAAAAUCUGUGAUAUCUUUAAGGGAAACUGGGAUUGGAUACCCCACUAUUAGGCAUAAAUUUACCAGAGCACUACGAAUUUAAAACUCAAAGAGCUUGGCGGUAUUUUAGACCACUUAGGGGAACCUGUUUCAUAAUCGAUAAUCCGCGUGAAACCUUACCUUUUUUCAGUUUGUAUACCGUUGUCAGCAGGUAACUUUUAAUAAAAGUUAGCUAUAUUAAUUUAAAUGUCAAAUCAAGGUGCAACCAAUAAAAAGGAGAGAAUGGGUUACAAUUAACGAAGGAGGACUUAAAAGUAAAAUAUAAAAAUGAGCUGAACAGGCUCUAAAAUGUG
rnacentral:rRNA from 1 species